rnacentral:rRNA from 1 species
GACGAACGCUGGCGGCGUGCCUAAUACAUGCAAGUAGAACGCUGAAGAGAGGAGCUUGCUCUUCUUGGAUGAGUUGCGAACGGGUGAGUAACGCGUAGGUAACCUGCCUUGUAGCGGGGGAUAACUAUUGGAAACGAUAGCUAAUACCGCAUAACAAUGGAUGACUCAUGUCAUUUAUUUGAAAGGGGCAAAUGCUCCACUACAAGAUGGACCUGCGUUGUAUUAGCUAGUAGGUGAGGUAACGGCUCACCUAGGCGACGAUACAUAGCCGACCUGAGAGGGUGAUCGGCCACGCUGGGACUGAGACACGGCCCAGACUCCUACGGGAGGCAGCAGUAGGGAAUCUUCGGCAAUGGGGGCAACCCUGACCGAGCAACGCCGCGUGAGUGAAGAAGGUUUUCGGAUCGUAAAGCUCUGUUGUAAGUCAAGAACGAGUGUGAGAGUGGAAAGUUCACACUGUGACGGUAGCUUACCAGAAAGGGACGGCUAACUACGUGCCAGCAGCCGCGGUAAUACGUAGGUCCCGAGCGUUGUCCGGAUUUAUUGGGCGUAAAGCGAGCGCAGGCGGUUUGAUAAGUCUGAAGUUAAAGGCUGUGGCUCAACCAUAGUUCGCUUUGGAAACUGUCAAACUUGAGUGCAGAAGGGGAGAGUGGAAUUCCAUGUGUAGCGGUGAAAUGCGUAGAUAUAUGGAGGAACACCGGUGGCGAAAGCGGCUCUCUGGUCUGUAACUGACGCUGAGGCUCGAAAGCGUGGGGAGCGAACAGGAUUAGAUACCCUGGUAGUCCAAGGGCGAAUUCCACAGUGGAUAUCAAGCUUAUCGAUACCGUCGACCUCGAGGGGGGAUCAAUAUACUAAGCUUUUGUUCCCUUUAGUGAGGGUUAA